rnacentral:rRNA from 1 species
UAUACAUGACUCUGCGCAUAUCAAUAAGCGGAGGAAAAGAAACUAACAAGGAUUCCCCUAGUAACGGCGAGUGAAGCGGGAAGAGCUCAAAUUUGAAAUCUUAAAGGGUUUCCCUUUACGAAUUGUAGUUUAAAGAAGUGCUUUCUGUUGAGGUUUUGGUAAAAGUUCUUUGGAAUAGGACAUCAUAGAGGGUGAGAAUCCCGUAUUUGACCAUUACUUUCAACUUUGUGAUACACUUUCAAAGAGUCGGAUUGUUUGGGAAUGCAGUCCAAAAUGGGUGGUAAAUUUCAUCUAAAGCUAAAUAUUGGCGAGAGACCGAUAGCGAGCAAGUACCGUGAGGGAAAGAUGAAAAGAACUUUGAAAAGAGAGUUAAACAGUACGUGAAAUUGUCAAAAGGGAAGCGUUUGACACCAGUGUUGUUUUUCUGAAAAUCAAUUAAAGAACUGUUUAUGCUAAGUUGUUUAGACUUUAUCAGCUAACUGUUUAGUUUUGAGCUUUUCUUUAAUGCACUUUUCAGUUAACAAGUCAACAUCAAUUUCUUUUGCUGUAAAAAAGCUUGAGGAAGGUGGCUUGAGAUUCGUCUUAAGUGUUUAUAGCCUCUUGCCUAUGCAGUCGGAGAGAUUGAGGUCUGCAGCGCAGAUCCUUCGGGGCUAAAUGCAUUUGUGCUAAGUUAUAGCAUUUUAUAGACAACUUGUUGACUAUGAUUUGUCUUGUAGCUUACUCGCUUAUGUUAUUUUACCUACGCUUAGGAUGUUGACAGCAGUAUAGACUGU